AACUAAAUUUGUUCUUGGUAUGAGCUUUCGUGUGCAUGCACACUUCUUCAGAUAGGUAUCUGAGGAAGUGUGCAUGCACACGAAAGCUCAUACCAAGAACAAACUUAGUUGG